rnacentral:rRNA from 1 species
ACAUGCAAGUCGAUGGGUAACAGGUUCCUUCGGGAAUGCUGACGACCGGCGCACGGGUGAGUAACGCGUAUGCAACCUUCCUGUAUCUGGAGGAUAGGCCUUGGAAACGAGGAUUAAUACUGCGUAACAUUAUAUUAUCGCAUGGUAAAAUAAUCAAAUCUACGGAGGAUACAGAUGGGCAUGCGUGCCAUUAGCUAGAUGGUAAGGUAAGGGCUUACCAUGGCGACGAUGGCUAGGGGUUCUGCAAUGAAGAUCCCCCACACUGGUACUGAGACACGGACCAGACUCCUACGGGAGGCAGCAGUGAGGAAUAUUGGUCAAUGGAGGCAACUCUGAACCAGCCAAGCCGCGUGAAGGAAGACUGUUCUAUGAAUUGUAAACUUCUUUUGUGACAGAGUAAAGAUAGCUACGCGUAGUUAUUUGCAAGUAUGUCAUGAAUAAGCAUCGGCUAACUCCGUGCCAGCAGCCGCGGUAAUACGGAGGAUGCAGGCGUUAUCCGGAUUUAUUAGGUUUAAAGGGUGUUCAGGCUGUCUGGUAAGUCAGAGGUGAAAGUCGGUUGCUUAACGAUCGAAUUGCCUUUGAAACUGUCAGACUUGAGUAUGGAUGCGGUAGGCGGAAUGUGUAGUGUAGCGGUGAAAUGCAUAGAUAUUACACAGAACACCGAUUGCGAAAGCAGCUUACCAAACCAGCACUGACGCUGAAGCACGAAAGCGUGGGUAAGCGAACAGGAUUAGAUACCCUGGUAGUCCACGCAGUAAACGAUGCUCACUCGCUGUUGGCAAUAGAUCGUCAGCGGCUAAGGGAAACCGAUAAGUGAGCCACCUGGGGAGUACGAUCGCAAGAUUGAAACUCAAAGGAAUUGACGGGGGCCCGCACAAGCGGUGGAACAUGUGGUUUAAUUCGAUGAUACGCGAGGAACCUUACCUGGGCUUANAUGUACGAUGCAUAAGUGUGAAAGCACUUUUUCCUUUCGGGACUUUGUACAAGUUGCUGCAUGGUUGUCGUCAGCUCGUGCCGUGAGGUGUCGGGUUAAGUCCCAUAACGAGCGCAACCCCUAUUGUUAGUUACCAGCGCGUAAAGGCGGGGACUCUAGCGAAACUGCCGGUGUAAACCGCGAGGAAGGUGGGGAUGACGUCAAAUCAGCACGGCCCUUAUGUCCAGGGC